UGAGUUAAUUGUUCAAGUUUCCCUCUAAAAAAAAAAAACACUCACAAGAUUAAAAUGCCGCCAAUAUCUCCACAGAGCAGCCAUCUCCAACUUGCUGAGGUCAACCUUCGUGGUCCCACGAGGUGUGGAGACAGAGCCCUUAGACUGCGAGUCACAAGAAAGAGACCUGCUCAUAGUCUUGUGAGAUGAUCCUGUUGAUUUAUGAGUCCGAUUCCUUGAUCUAUGGGACUUUUGGGUGUCAUAGGAUGCUGGAAAAUUAGGAGU